UUUAUGUUUACAGACGUGACGUAAUGACGCAGUACCAUGCUCGAAUUUCCCGCGAAAACCUACCUGUACCACUCAAAUUAGAAAACAUUAUAAACUAACCGUUGUGAACACUGGCUGGUUAUGUACUUGCGCAAAUAUUAAUUUCGGAUCAUUUUUAACCAAAAAAAGAAAAAGUUACGGACUGCUGCUUUAAGUGAAAAAAAAAAAAAGAAAAGAAAAAAAAGAGAAAAUUGUCUACACCAAGCAUGUCCAUUGGCAUACUGUUUACUCUGGACACGUCAAAGCAAAACUUCCAAAAAGAGCAUCUCAAUGACCAAGAAAACCAUAAGAACCAAGAGAACAAAACUACAUGUGUGAACACAUCCUAAGUCAAAACAAAGAGGUGAGAUUGUUCCAUUCUGAUUUUCAAGUGCAUAUUUUUCCUCUUUCUAGAAUCUUCUCACAUCUCCAGACGUCUCUGCCCAGAGCUAUUUGACUACUGUAUCACGACUUGAAAGUUGAGGAAAGUCCUGAGCUGUCAGGAGGCAUCAGAGAGCUGUGGUGCCCUGCGGUGAGAUCGUCUCUCCGUGUUGCUAAGAUGGAGGCCAGCGCCCUUUCAUCCUCUCCUGCAGAAAGACGCUCUUUCAUUCUCUCAAAGCCUGUCAAACAUACCAGCCGCUGGCUCCGUGUCGAGCGUUUGCACGUCUCAGAGAUGGGAAGUUGUCAGGGAGUGACGAGACAGAGGUGAAACAGAAUCUACAAGCCCAAUUCUCUGUUGAG